GUCGGGUGAGGCCUCUGGGUCACCUCCCACCCAUGUUUAUUGUACCUUGUUGCUUCGGCGGGCCCGCCGCACGGCCGCCGGGGGGCUUCUGCCCUCUGGCCCGCGCCCGCCGAAGACACCAUUGAACACUGUCUGAAUAUUGCAGUCUGAGCAAUUAGCUAAAUAAGUUAAAACUUUCAACAACGGAUCUCUUGGUUCCGGCAUCGCUGAAGAACGCAGCGAAAUGCGAUACGUAAUGUGAAUUGCAGAAUUCAGUGAAUCAUCGAGUCUUUGAAAGCACAUUGCGCCCCUUGGUAUUCCGGGGGGCAUGCCUGUCCGAGCGUCAUUGCUGCCCUCAAGCACGGUUUGUGUGUUGGGCCCCGUCCUCCUUCCCGGGGGACGGGCCCGAAAGGCAGCGGCGGCACCGCGUCCGGCCCUCGAGCGUAUGGGGCUUUGUCACCCGCUCUUGUAGGCCCGGCCGGCGCUUGCCGACAACCAUCAAUC
rnacentral:sRNA from 1 species